GUGGGGAAUUUUGGACAAUGGGCGCAAGCCUGAUCCAGCAAUGCCGCGUGCAGGAAGAAGGCCUUCGGGUUGUAAACUGCUUUUGUACGGAACGAAACGGUCCGGGUUAAUACCCUGGGCUAAUGACGGUACCGUAAGAAUAAGCACCGGCUAACUACGUGCCAGCAGCCGCGGUAAUACGUAGGGUGCAAGCGUUAAUCGGAAUUACUGGGCGUAAAGCGUGCGCAGGCGGUUUUGUAAGACAGGCGUGAAAUCCCCGGGCUCAACCUGGGAAUUGCGCUUGUGACUGCAAGGCUGGAGUGCGGCAGAGGGGGAUGGAAUUCCGCGUGUAGCAGUGAAAUGCGUAGAUAUGCGGAGGAACACCGAUGGCGAAGGCAAUCCCCUGGGCCUGCACUGACGCUCAUGCACGAAAGCGUGGGGAGCAAACAGGAUUAGAAACCCCGGUAGUCC
rnacentral:rRNA from 1 species